UACAGAGGGUGCGAGCGUUAAUCGGAAUUACUGGGCGUAAGCGCACGUAGUCGGCUUUGCAAGUCGGUUGUGAAAUCCCCGGGCUCAACCUGGGAACUGCAUCCGAGACUGCAUUGCUAGAGUAUGGGAGAGGAAAGCGGAAUUUCUGGUGUAGCAGUGAAAUGCGUAGAUAUCAGAAGGAACAUCAGUGGCGAAGGCGGCUUUCUGGACCAAUACUGACGAUCAGGUGCGAAAGCGUGGGGAGCAAACAGG
rnacentral:rRNA from 1 species